UUUUAUGGAGAGUUUGAUCCUGGCUCAGGAUGAACGCUGGCGGCGUGCCUAAUACAUGCAAGUCGAGCGAACAGACGAGGAGCUUGCUCCUCUGACGUUAGCGGCGGACGGGUGAGUAACACGUGGAUAACCUACC
rnacentral:rRNA from 1 species